rnacentral:tRNA from 1 species
AAGUCUGGGGUACUUUUAUAUACCUAAUCCAAAUUUGCAUUUCGGAACUCCAAACU